rfam:Gossypium hirsutum cultivar TM-1 chromosome 20, whole genome shotgun sequence
UGUUAAAAAUUGCAUCCAUUUCUAUUGUUUAAAACUGGCAUGACUGACAGAAUAACUAAAUUGUUACAGGUGCUUACAUACAUGGACCAGUUUAUAGCAGUAAAAAUAGAUGGAAUUUUUAACA